rnacentral:rRNA from 2 species
CGACCCCAGGUCAGGCGGGAGCACCCGCUGAGUUUAA